rnacentral:lncRNA from 1 species
AAAUAACAUAAAAUACACAAAAUUUCACUAAAUCCUUGUUAGGCCGAAUUCUACCCAUACUACUAGCAGCCCAUAUUUUUAGUUUAUUCACACAUUUAACCUUGAAUUUGUACACUUUUCUCAAUUUAAUCCUUAAUACACAUUUUUAUCAAAAAUCACUUAAUUAAACAUAAUAAUCUAUCAACAAAAGUUUAUAUUUCAUCAUCAAACCACAAAAACAUCAAGCUAACAUCAAUGGCAAAUUUCAAAAUCAUCACCAAUUCACAAAAUUGAAGCAUGGGCUUUAAAGAACACAAAGCAACGAUCUCAAAAACGUAAAAAUUAUCAAAAACCGAACAAAGAACUAACCUUAAUCAAAAUUCAAAAUGGCCGAACCCUUAGCUUGUUCUUUCCUUUUUCUUUUCUUUUACAUUCGGUUAGUAGAAACAAAAGAAAUGAUAAUGGCUUUUUAACUUAUGUUUGUUUUCUUAUUAUAAUAACUUUAUAAUAUAUUAUUUAUUAUUAUAACCUUUAUAAUUACUAUAAAAACUAUAUAAUAUAUACAUAGUGCCGUCCAUUCAUUAAUUCAAUGGCAAAAUUGCAACAUGAAACCUUCAUAUUAAAAGAACAACCACUAUUUGGCCUUUCUAAAAAUAACCACUAAAUUUUUAUUUUACUCGAUUAAGCCCUAUUCUCAAAUUAAGCACUUAAACAAUAAAAUUAAUUCACGAAACUUUCACAUAUAUAAAUUCACACAUAAUAAACACAGAAAAAAAAAUAUUAAAAUAUUUUUCAGACUCGGAUGUGUGGUCCCGAAACCACUGUUCCGAUUUGGGUCAAAAUCGGGCUAUUACAACUCUCCCCCACUUAGGGAUUUUCGUCCUCGAAAAUCUUACAGGUGAGUAGGUGUGGGCAACGUUCUUUCAUUGCAUCCUCUGGUUCUCAGGUUGCUUCCUCAACUCCGUGUUUAUGCCACAGUACUUUGGCUAACAAAAUUUUCUUAUUUCGUAAUUCUUUAACCUCACGAGCCAGAAUGCUAAUCGGUUCUUCUUCAUAUGACAUAUUAGACUUAAUUUCAAUCUCGGUCAAACUGGUCACAUGCGAAGGAUCGGAUCAGUAUCUAUGAAGCAUCGAAACAUGGAAUACAUUAUGAAUCUUUUCUAGUUCAGGUGGCAACAACAGUCUAUAAGCAACCGACCCGAUAUGCUCUAUAAUCUCAUAUGGUCCAAUGAAUCGCGGACUCAAUUUGCCUUUACGACCAAAUCUGAGUAUUUUCUUCCACAUUCAAAAAGACUUUAUCUUCGAUCUGAAAUUCUAUAUCCUUUCUUUUCAAGUCUGUAUAUGAUUUCUGACAAUCCGAUGCUAUUUUCAGACUAUCACGAAUCACUUUCACUUUCUGUUCAGUCUCUUUAAUCAAAUCGACCCCGUGUAUCUUAUUUUCUCUGAGCUCGGUCUAAUACAAUGGUGUACAACAUUUAAGACUGUAUAAAGCCUCGUAAAGUGCCAUUUUGAUACUAGAUUGAAAGCUAUUAUUAUAUGCAAAUUCAAUCAAAGGUAAGUAUUGAUCCUACGUACCUUCAAACUCGAGAACGCAACAUCUCAACAUAUCCUCAAGUAUCUGAAAGAUUCGUUCAGAUUGACCAUCUAUUUGCGGAUGGAAAGCUGUGCUAAAGUGUAGUUUCAUACCUAAAACAUCUUGCAGUUUCUUCCAAAAUCACGAUGUGAACCUCGGGUCUCUGUCUGAAACAAUAGAAAUAGGUACUCUAUGCAAUCUCACAAUCUGAGAAACAUAUAAUUCAGACAGCUUAUCAAGUGAAUAUUCUGUACAAACCGAAAUAAAGUGUGUUGAUUUAGUCAAUCUAUCCACAAUAACCCAGAUUGCAUCUUUCUUACUCCGUGUCAACAGUAAACUAGAUACAAAAUCCAUUGUAACUCUAUCCCACUUCCACUCGGGUAUCAUAAUCGGCUAAAGUAACCUAGAAGGUACUUGAUGCUCUACUUUCACUUGUUGACAAACUAAACAUUUCGAAAUAAAGUCAGAAAUAUCUCGUUUCAUACCAUGCCACCAAUAAAGCUAUUUCAGAUCAUUAUAUAUUUUUGUACUACCCGGGUGAACAGAUAAUCAACUAUUAUAAGCUUCGUUCAAAAUCAUAUGAAUCAACUUUGAAUUCUUCGGAACACAUAUUCAGUUUCUAAACCUCAAACAAUCAUUGGUAUCAACUCGAAACUCUGUUACACCACUCGAUUCACAUUGAGCUCGUUUUGCUAACAAAUCAUUAUCAACUUUCUGAGCAUCACAAAUUUGUUGAACAAAUAACGGUCUAGCUUUUAAUUCAGCUAUUAUCGAACCAUCAUUGGACAUAGUCAUAUGCGCAUUCAUUGCUCGCAAAGAAAACAACGAUUUUUUUUUUUACUUAAAGCAUCAGCAACAACAUUAGCCUUUCCCAGAUAAUAGUCAAGUACAAGCUCGUAGUCUUUUAACAACUCUAAGCAUCGACGUUGUCUUAAAUUCAGAUCUUUUUGAGUCAUCAAAUAUGACACAUAACUCUUUUCAUAUAGCUUUAACUAUAUGGAAUCAUAAGAUAUCUCUGUACACUCUUCUAUUAGAACACACUUCAAACCGUUCAUUGACACAUUACUGAGAAUCGUAAACUUUUUAUUCAAGUUAGGCUGAACGAGUACUGAUGUUUCGGUUGACAAUAUCUUCGUGCAAAAAGGAAAACUUCAACAAUCGAACUAACUUUAAUUUACUACAACAUUUCCCAGAUAGAAUCGUUUUGAUAGAUAUAAUUCUAUAUCAAAUCUUCAAUAAUACAAAUUCUUCUUCCAAACUAUCCCUCAAUUCACAUAUGUACGUUCAAAGUUUAUUUCCAGUCUAGUGGAUAGAUUCAAACACAUAUAACCCAAUUAUCUUUUCAAUCAAAUAAUUCAAAUCAGACUAAACCGCUGAAUCAGACUUUCGAAGAAAUCUUUUCUUCUCGUUAAAAGGAUAGCCCCAAAUAUAUCAUUUUCCAGAUUUGAUCUUGAUCUUCUAUCAUUUUCACUUUUGCCGAUGUCAAACCUUUUACGAGAACUAGAAAAGAGUUUAUGAUAAAGCUGUCUCACAUUUUAAUCAUCGAAGUUCUGAAUUAUACUGAAUUCACCUUUAUCAAAUAGAAAUCAUUGGGCCUUAAGGAGAACGAUGUCUCAACCCUAUAAAUAGAUAUUAUCCUGGCUGUUAAUAAAGCAUUUGAACACAGAAGAAAAUCAAAUAUGGUUUAAACAGCAACCAAUUCAAAAACACAACUUCUAUAACUCUGAUAACAGUACUGCAGUACUCCCAUAUUUCAAAACAAAAAUUAUAAUAGAUAUAACCAUUUCCGUCAAAUGGAUAUCUCUUAUAGAAAAUCACAUAGAAUCAUAAGAAAACCAGGAUAGCGGAAUUUCAACAUAUGAAGCUACACAUGAUAUCUGGAAAUUACAGCCCAUAUAAAAUGAUAACAAUUCCGAUGAUAUCCCAGAAAAUUUCUAAAAAGAACAAACUCAUUCAUAAAUACUGAGAUCCACAGUAACAGAAGUAAUAUAAUCUUCACGUAUAUUCAACAGAACAUUAACCAGUAGAAAUAGAAUAUUAGCCUCAUACAGAUUUUACCGUCGACUUUCAUAUCCACACAAUGGAAUAAAUACUAGAGAAAGACGGAGCAAUGUCAAACAUAACCCAAACAGACCUACGAUGCUUUUGUCUAUUAGUAUGUUUAACUAAUAUUCUUACACGAUAAGAAUUCCUUCUAAAAUUAAACAGUCACAUAUACUUCUGGGGAUAAAUGUACACAUAGAAUGCUCAGAAGAAAUCAUAGUAACUGUUCGAAUAUAACCACUGCACUCAGCCAUCAAUACCAUUCAAACAUUAUUCAACUGUCUAAUUCUGUCAUCAUUAAGUCCAUAUUAUCCCAUCAAUAACAAAAAUCAAUUUCAAAGAACUUUCAGUUAAUACCUUUCUAUAUAUAUAUCAAACCUGAAUAGUUUUAUUUCAUCAAAUUCCACUUCUUCGUUAAAAGCGACUUUGCAUAAUACGAAUGGCCAUUAAAACGAUUCAAUAUCUCUUAUAGCACUGUCUCAAUUUGCUGACCCAUUCUCUUAUCUGACCACAUUAGUAAUCUUUCAAACACAAACCUCUGUAACUCCACACUUGUGAGCUUAUUCGAUCCAAAUCUUACAGAUUUCAUUGUAAUAUUUUACUGAUAAGGGGUGAGGGUAGUAAAGCCUCAAAUUUAACUCGGACAUAAAUGCACAUAACACAUACUAUUACAAAUAGCCAAUUUAUUAACAAUUUCACAUUCUCCAAACAUUUACUAAACAUUUGCUUAUAUUCACUUUUGUUCUUAACACAUUAUUCAUAUACCAAUUCAAAUCACUAACUCACAAUCAAAGCAUUUCAGAUACCAAUCGUAACUCAAAUAUCAUAUCUCAUAUGCUCAUAUAAGUACAACAUUUAUCAAUAACAACAUGUCAUACAAUUUGGUCCUUACCUUUAUGAGUUUCUACUCAUAAUCAACACAUUUUCACUCAAACAUUUGAGUAUUUACUUUUGUACUAUCAGAAUUAGCUCGGUUGGAAAAACACAUCUGUCUCACCAAAACAAUUUUCGUCAGAGUCGGGAGAUAUCACACUAUCACAAGUUAUAUAUGGCAUGUAUAGCUAGACUUACAUUAGCUAUGUUAGUCCUAGAACCGACUAAACCAUAGCUCUGAUACCAAUAAAAUGUAACACCCCUAACCCGUGUCCGUCGCCGAACUAAGGUUACGAGGUAUUACCAAACAAAACACAGUUCAAAACAGACAUUCUUUACAAAUCAUAGGCCCAGUAAUGUAUUCUCCCUUAUAAAAUUUUUCGAAAUAAAUUGAUAAACCAACCUCUUAUUCAUACAAGUCAAAAUCAUUUAUUCGAAUCACAUAUCUAACCACACAUAUCAUGCCUUAUCGAACAUUCUCUUAUAUGAACUAUAUUUCAAUAUCUAACCAUUUCAAUUACGUUUGCUAAUUCAAAACUUUCAAGCCAAGCCAUCAAAUAUCAAAACCAAACUAAAUAACAAACGUAAUAUUUAAUAAAAAUUAUACAUACACCUGUUAAACUAAUUUAGCCAUAUCUCACAGUUUAAUAACCAUUUGCACAUAAAACGUUAGGUAACUUUAUACAUAACCAACUAAGUUUUUUUUUACAUCAUCCAACCAUGUGCAUAACACCCUAAAACCAAAAGUCAUUUCUAAAUUCAAUUACCAAAUCAUAGCAUUUUAAACAUUAUAACCUUAUGUACAUUUUACUAAAUCAAAUUUAACCAUUUUCGAAUACAAAUGCCAAGUCAUAAAAUAUCUAAUUUGCAAGCUAAAUAGCAUAUCUAACAUGUUAUAUUCAACCACACACAUGAACCCCAUACCUAAUUCGCAUGCGAAUUAUCAUGCCUAUAAUUCAUAUACACAACCAAUUAAUAUUUUCAAUAAUCAAUCAUUCAAUUAACCUCCAUAUCAAUUAGAUCAUAUACAUUCUUUGUCAUUCAAAAAUCGAGCCUAAAUAGUCAAAUACCAUAGCCGAACAUAUAACUACCUAUAUAUAUAACACAUUUUAUAACCAUCAUUGAAUCAAUGAUUUGACCUUUUUAAAACGAAACUACAAGCAAACAUUAAAUAGGCAUAUGUAUUCAUAUCUCAAAUGUCCAACAAUUUAAAAAAAUAACCUUUCGGUUAUCAAAUUUAACUCAAUAAAUCAUAACAUCUCCAUCACCCAGUCUAUAAGAUAAACAUAGUAUCUCAUAUCUUAACAUCAAAACAAUAUGUCAUUUAUAGAUAUUCAAAUGACCCCUUUUACCAAACCAUAUUAUACCACUUUUCAUGCCACCAAAGUAAGUUAAUUAAUAAGCCGAAUAUAUACCCUACUUACCACUUCUCAUUGCCAAAUCAUAUAACCAACAUCACAACAUAUUUACCAUAAAUCAUACCUCUCAAUUAAGCUUAUAACAUGACCAAAAAUAAUUGCCAACAUUUGCAUCAUGAACAAGCCAUUUUCGCAUGGCUAUAUACAUAUACAAAUUUCAAAAAUCAAAUAUAUCAAAACUAGCCUAUACAUGCCACAUAACCAAAUCUCAAAGCGUUUAUUUACCGAAAUGAAUACGGGAUAGUGUGAUGAGAUCUCCCAAGACUUCCAACCAGAGCAAGUCUCCGAAACUCUAUAACAUAGGAAAAACACACAGAGUAAGCUUUGAAAGCUUAGUAAGCCAUAAGCAAAUAAAUCAUUCCAAUAAUGUUUAUAAUUCAAUUUAACUAAGCUGAAUUUAAAAAAAAAUCUCAACCACAUAUACAUUCAUCAUAAUCUCAAUUUCUUAAGACCACACUAGGUAACUUCACUAGAGUUAAUUAUGGAUGGACAUAUAAACCGUUUUUUUCAAAUUUAUAUAUCUACCAUUAGCUCAUUCGUAGGAUUAAGCUUCCACAAUUUCAUUACAUACCAACCGAAUCAUGAUCAUUUAUUACAAUUUAUUCGUAAAAAAUAUAUCAAUUUCUUUUUAUACACUUCCAAGCCCGAAUAAGCAUAACAAUUCACAUCUCAUUUUCACAUAAAUUAUAUAACGAAUAAUCAUAAUCAUACUUACUUUCAUUGCUCAAAUUCAUAUUCAUCACAAACAUACCUGAUUCGGCUGCACACUCAUAUACUCAUUUAUUUCUCGGAAUACCCCGUUGAACCGUUCAGAAUCAAAUAGGAUACUUGGAUAGCUCAAAAAAAAUCGUACAAUGCCAACGUCCCAGACGUGGUCUUACAUGUAAUCAAUAUCGAUGCCACUGUCCCAGACAGGGUCUUACACGAAAUCAAAUAUGAUGCCGAUGUCCCAGACAUGGUCUUAUACAUAAAUCUCAAAUCGAUGCCAACGUCCCAGACGUGGUCUUACACGAUAACAUAUAUCGGAAUCCUAUGUCAUGACAUAUGUAUCCUAACUAUUCCUAUGGUUCGUACGGGGCUUUUCAGACGUCGUAAUUCUAUUGAUUCAAGCUCGUAACUAGUUCUCCAACUCUAAAUUCAAUUCAGCAUAUGCACAUAUAUUUAUUAAAGAUAAAUUCAGCACAUAUAACAUAUAUACAUUCAAAUUUAACAGCAUUUAUUUACUUAUGAACUUACCUCGUACGAACGCGAACGGACCGGAACGACUAAUCGAUAACUUCCGAUUUUCCCGAUCCAAGUCCGAUUUCCACUUUUUCCAAUCUAAUUAAUAUCAAAUUUAACUUAAUUAUUCAACAUUUCAUUAAAUUUUCAUUCAAGAACAUAUAAAUGGAAAUUUGCAUUUUAGCCCCUAACAUUUUGCAUUUUUCUCAAUUUAGUCCUUAUUUCAAAAUAACAUAAAAUACACAAAAUUUCACUAAAUCCUUGUUAGGCCGAAUUCUACCCAUACUACUAGCAGCCCAUAUUUUUAGUUUAUUCACACAUUUAACCUUGAAUUUGUACACUUUUCUCAAUUUAAUCCUUAAUACACAUUUUUAUCAAAAAUCACUUAAUUAAACAUAAUAAUCUAUCAACAAAAGUUUAUAUUUCAUCAUCAAACCACAAAAAC